AGUGAACGCUGGCGGUAGGCCUAACACAUGCAAGUCGAACGGCAGCACCGUAAGAGCUUGCUCUUAUGGGUGGCGAGUGGCGGACGGGUGAGGAAUACAUCGGAAUCUACUUUUUCGGGGGGGAUAACGUAGGGAAACUUACGCUAAUACCGCAUAUGACCUACGGGUGAGAGCAGGGGAUCUUCGGACCUUGCGCGAUUGAAUGCGCCGAUGUGGGAUUAGCUGGUUGGCGGGGUAAAGGCCCACCAAGGGGACGAUCCGUAGCUGGUCUGAGAGGAGGGUACGCCACGCUAGAGCUGAGACACGGUCAAUACUCCUACGGGAGGCAGCAGAGGGGAAUGUUAGACAAUGGGGGGAAACCUGAUACAGCGAUACCGCGUGGGAGAAAGAGGCCUUCGGGUUGUAAAGCCCGUUUGUUGGGAAAAAAAAGCAGCAGGUUAAUACCCCGCUGUUCUGACGGUACCCGAAGAAGAAGCACCGGCUAACUUCGUG
rnacentral:rRNA from 1 species